AACGAACGCUGGCGGCAUGCCUAACACAUGCAAGUCGAACGAUUGCCUUCGGGUGAUAGUGGCGCACGGGUGCGUAACGCGUGGGAAUCUGCCCUUAGGUUCGGAAUAACAGCUGGAAACGGCUGCUAAUACCGGAUGAUAUCGCGAGAUCAAAGAUUUAUCGCCUGAGGAUGAGCCCGCGUUGGAUUAGGUAGUUGGUGGGGUAAAGGCCUACCAAGCCGACGAUCCAUAGCUGGUCUGAGAGGAUGAUCAGCCACACUGGGACUGAGACACGGCCCAGACUCCUACGGGGGGCAGCAGGGGGGAAAAUGGGAAAAGGGGCGCAAGCCUGACCCACAAAUGCCGCGUGAGUUAUGAAGGCCCUAGGGUUGUAAAGCCCUUUUCCCCGGGAAGCUAAUGACUGUCCCGGGAAAAUAAACCCCGGCCAACUCCGU
rnacentral:rRNA from 1 species